AUUGAACGCUGGCGGCAGGCCUAACACAUGCAAGUCGAGCGAGCGGCGGACGGGUGAGUAAUGUCUGGGAAACUGCCUGAUGGAGGGGGAUAACUACUGGAAACGGUAGCUAAUACCGCAUACCAUCGGAUGUGCCCAGAUGGGAUUAGCUAGUAGUUGUGGUAACGGCUCACCUAGGCGACGAUCCCUAGCUGGUCUGAGAGGAUGACCAGCCACAGUGGAACUGAGAGACGGUUCAAACUCCAACGGGAGGCAGCAGGGGGUAAUAUUGCACCAUGGGGGCAAGCCUGAUGCAGCCAUGCCGCGUGUAUGAAGAAGGCCUUCGGGUUGUAAAGUACUUUAAGCGGGGAGGCGUUACCCGCAGAAGAAGCCCCGGCUAACUCCGUGCCAGCAGCCGCGGUAAUUC
rnacentral:rRNA from 1 species